UACGUAGGGGGCAAGCGUUAUCCGGAUUUACUGGGUGUAAAGGGAGCGUAGACGGCAUGGCAAGCCAGAUGUGAAAACCCAGGGCUCAACCUUGGGAUUGCAUUUGGAACUGCCAGGCUGGAGUGCAGGAGAGGUAAGCGGAAUUCCUAGUGUAGCGGUGAAAUGCGUAGAUAUUAGGAGGAACACCAGUGGCGAAGGCGGCUUACUGGACUGUAACUGACGUUGAGGCUCGAAAGCGUGGGGAGCAAACAGG
rnacentral:rRNA from 2 species